rnacentral:lncRNA from 1 species
AAGAAUGGGAGAUCCAAGAGAACCAACGAUUACUGAUGCUUGAAUUUAGUCAACUCUGAGGAGAAACUUUAACCCCUUUCCUAGAUACCACUAGCAUCAACACAAAUCUUGUAAGACAUUAAGGUGAGCAAAGUCAGGGACUAAACAAGGGAGAAAUCUUAAUUGUAGAUGCUUGUAAGGAAAGGGAAUUCUCAAACAGCAAUUUGAUCUUGCAUAUAGAAGAACACCAGGAUGGAUUAGAAGGAACGACAUUAUGAGAAGCUAUAGAACUAGUUGAGGAAAUGGUGAGCAGACAACAUAAGCAAUCAGGUGUUGAAUUCAUCUCGCCAACGACAUUAGGUUCCAUUGAGUGGAACAAUGUGCAUGAUCAGGACAUUUUAGAUCCACCUCAACGCUCGGAGCUAAAGAUAUUCACUGCCAAUCUAGUGGAAGAAUGCCCAAAGACUAGGAACCCUGCGAGAAAGAACGAGGGCAAACAUGCACUUUCAGGGGAAAUAUUUAACUUGAAUGUAAUUUUUUUUGUAAGAUAGUAAUCUUUAAUCAGAAGCCCCAAAAUUUUAAUGACCUAGGGAUCUUCUGGAUGUUGACAAAGAUAAUAUAUAUAUCAACAGGACUUAUGAUCACAUGACAAGCAUCAUCCAAACGAUCUCAUUGGUAAGCACAGAAACACCGAUAGAAUAGUAAUAUGGCCUAUAGAAAAACUCGAAAGCCUCUAGAACUGGGAUCCAAGUUAUGUGGUACCGUAUGGCACACUAAUAGAAUGUUCAAGGAAACUCCUAUAAUACCAUUUUUGUUAGAAGAAUUAUUUAAGUACUUUAUGCAUAAUAAAUAUGACCAACAACACCUGUACCUUUUGGAAAACAAGGACGAUAUGAUGGUUGUGUUGUUCUUUAAUUCUACAAGUUAUUAAUAAUUAUGAUCUAUGAAAGGAAUUAUAGGUGGUCAGUGUAGGUCGAAAGGGUAAACUCCGAGAGUGGGAUAAACAAAGAAGAAUAGAAUGGCACAAUGGGUGUUGGAUUAAUACAAUAGAAACAAACUAUAGGAAGCACCCAAGGGUGUACUAACCGAGCUGAUGGAUGAGUCCGGUAGCAAACCUAAAAUUUUUAUGUAACUUUACUAACUGUACAAAAAUGUAUAUUUCGCUAAUGAAUGAACUGAAAUGUUACAGGAAGAUCAGAAACACGGCUAACAGGCGCUUGAAGCACUCUGAAGAUAAAAAAAAUGGGAAAAACAGAGUCAAUGUCCCAACAUGUUGACCUCGUGUUACAAAACUAUGUCCAGUAGUAAGGAAUCACAACAUUCAUAUCGACUUUGCGACACCACUCUUUUGUGGUGUGACAUGGAGGAUAGUUUCCUAGAAUUUCAAAACUACAAGGUGUGUUACGACAUCGGGGAUAUUAACAAGUUGAUAGGGAUGUCAUGACAUGAAAACCCUGUGUUCCGACAUAUCUACAAUUUUUUCGCAGGGUUGACACGACUCGUUCACUCAACCCGGAUGCAUAACUCUGACUUCACCCAGUUUUUAAACCUAAAAACCCUUAUUUUUAACUAUUAAACACCUUAGGUCAAACUCUUAACCUAUUCUAAACAUCACACCCUUUUACAACCCCUCAAUCUCCAAAAUCCUUUUUCAUCCCCAAACCCUAACUACACAAAACUCCAUUGUUAUUCCUAAGGCCAUGUUUGGGUGAGAUUUCAUCAAGCACUUAGAGAAGCAGCAGAAACAAUUGCAAGGAGGUCAAGGUUACGUGGUCCUUUACUCGUUUUACUAUUCCAUUGAUUUUUUUAUUUAUUUGAUUACUUUAAAGUUGAACAAUAGAAAAUGCCUCCUAAAAAGAGUAAUAAAAAUACAGUCCAAGAAACUCCAAUAGUUUCGGACCGUACAAAAUUUGAGAACCCAAAUACUAAAAAAUAUUUUCUUGAGUUAUAGGGUGAGCCUUUCAUCCAAGAGCGAGGGUUCGAAUCUUUAAUGGCUUUAAGCAAUGAAAUCUGAAGUUUAGUUAGAUACCCUCGUUGGGAGCGAUUCUAUAUCACUCCCAAGGAAACCGCAAUAAAUUCAGUUGUGUAAGAAUUCUAUGCUUCCUUUAGAGACCAAGAAAUACGAAAAAAACAAAAUUGGGAUACAGUAAUAGUGAGAGGAGAAGAAGUGCCCAUUACUCCAAGGGAAAUUUGUGAGUGCUAUGAUAUACCCUAUUAUAUCGGAGACUUCUUGGAUAGUACUGAUUUCGAAAAUUUUAAGGAUAUAGAUAUGGAGAAUGUUAUUAAGUACUUAACAUAUGGUAGAGGUACAUGGAAUUUUAGACCAGAUUUAGAUUUACCGACUAGUUUCAAUCAGGCGAUAAUGUUCCCAGUAGUGAAAAUGUGGAUGCAGUUCAUAGGUACUAGAAUUACACAUGCAUUAAAUGUUUCUAACAUUAAUACUUUUCGAGCUAUUGUAUUGUAUGGAAUUUUAUAGUGCAAGAAAAUGUGUAGGUAAAUGGAUUUACCGUGAAAUGAGGCACUGUGCACAUAGCCAAAAAGCUAGAAUUUUCUUUCCCCCUGGUGAUAAAACUAUGUCGACAGGAAAAUGUUCCAAUGGGUGAAAAUGAGUAGUUCAUGAAACCAACAAAAAGCAUCAUUGGAGACUAAUUGUACACGUAAUACGUCAAGCUUCAAAGUAAACAGAUCAUGAAGUGGAAUCAGAGAAUGAAAAAAAGAUGGAUAUCUCGAUUUCACUUAAACAGAAAGAGAAAUCAAAAGCUCGAAGAGGGACAAGUGGGAUCACAGAGGAAAAGCUCAAAGGACUGAUCCGUUGGAUGCAAGAAAUAGGGGCAGUACUUCAAGAAUUUGAAAGGAUGAAUGGUUUGUGAGCUCCAAAUUAUCCAUCUGACAUGUUUGGCCCUGCACCGACAUACCAUGAUAAGGGAAGAGAUAAGACGGAAGCAGACUCCGAAUAUGAAGAUGAGGGGGAUGUGUAGGAUUCUCCAUGAGCUGAGGAUGAGUAUGAGGUGGCAUUCUAGCAGCAAUAUUCCAUGCCAAAAGGGCCAAUCAUCCAAAGCCCGACCCAACAUUCACAUUCAACAGGUAGGAGCUCCCACCAAAAAUAUGGUUGGGGCAAGAGAAAAACACCCAUGGGACAAAGGCAUACACCUCAGUUCGAUGAUUUAGAGGAGAAUUAAUUUAAAAUUUUAAUGUUUUUAUAAGAUUGUAUUAAUUUUUGGAUGAUUUUAUUUUGAUUUUAGGGUAGGAUUAAUAGUAAAUUAUAAGUUUUUUUGUGUCAUGUUCUAAUUUUCUAUGUAGGAACCCCACCUAGAGGAGCCACAAUAUUAGAGCUUGCAAUGAGGAAUGGAGGAAGCAC